rnacentral:rRNA from 1 species
UACAGAGGGGGCAAGCGUUAUUCGGAAUUAUUGGGCGUAAAGGGCGCGUAGGCGGCCAUUCAAGUGACGGGUGAAAGCCCUCGGCUUAACCGAGGAACUGCCUGUCAGACUGGAUGGCUUGAGACCGGGAGAGGUGAGUGGAAUUCCCAGUGUAGCGGUGAAAUGCGCAGAUAUCGGGAGGAACACCAAUGGCGAAGGCAGCUCGCUGGGACGGUACUGACGCUGAGACGCGAAAGCGUGGGAGCAACAGG